rnacentral:rRNA from 1 species
UACGUAGGGUGCGAGCGUUGUCCGGAAUUAUUGGGCGUAAAGGGCUCGUAGGCGGUUUGUCGCGUCGGGAGUGAAAACCUCGGGCUUAACUCGGGGCUUGCUUUCGAUACGGGCAGACUAGAGGUAUGCAGGGGAGAACGGAAUUCCUGGUGUAGCGGUGAAAUGCGCAAAUAUCAGGAGGAACACCAGUGGCGAAGGCGGCAUUCUGGACUGCAACUGACACUGAGGAACGAAAGCCAGGGGAGCAAACGGG